GGCGCGCGCGGGGCGGGGCGGGGCGGCGGAGCCCCCCCCCCCCUCCCCCCCCCGGGGCCGUGUCAGGGACCGCCUGAGGGACCCCAGUAAAGGACACCCAGAGGGACCCGGGAGGGGCCGUGGGAAUUAAUCCACGAGUUCUUGAGGAACGCCUCGAGAGACUCGAUGAGAGCCCGUGCGAAGAUUCCGCCGAGGAACUCUGUGAGGGACACCGCGUGAGGGACCCCCGGAGAAGCCCCUCUGAGGGAUACCAUGACAUGGCCCAGUGAGUGACCUGGGUGGAUUAGGAGCAGGGCAUUUCGGAACCAGUUCUGCAUUUACGUUAAUGUAAACAUGGGUAGGAGCUGCAACAGAUUCUACUGCUGAGGAGCUGCAAGGUCUGCCUGUUCUUGUUUUUUCUCAGUAAGAUAGAGGGUCCUUUGAACUAAACUGAAAUUCAGACCAAACAGUACACAGAUUGUCAAGACAGUUCCACAUGUCUGAGCCUGACACUGAUCCUGCAGAGCCUUGCUUAAACACCUAUCCAAGAAGGAUGCUAGUGGGGGUUAACCUGUCUAGUGCAUGCUCUUCUAAUGUUUUAAAAGAGCUGUUUGUAGAUGCAGCAACUGGCAAUGGCAAGAACAAAGCAGUGAGCUUGGGAAACCCCAGGGAACUACAGGCUGGUGAGCCUCCACCCAGCCCUGCAAAGCCUCAAACACUGAGGACAAGAAGGUGACUGGCACUAGUAUUCAGUAUGGAUUUACACUGGGGAAGUCAUGUUGGGCUGACCUGGUCACCCUCUGUGAUGAAAUUACUGCCUUGAUAAACGAGGGAAGAGGAGAGGGAUGUUGCUCAGUUUGAGCAAAGCUUUCAGUGGUGUUAGCUAAAAGAAUCUCAUAGACAAACUGAUGGACUACAGACUGGGUUUAUGGAAAAGGAAGUCACACUGAGAACUGCAGAGCUGCUGAGUUGUGAUCACUGGUACAAAAUCCAGCUUGAGUCUAGUCACUGGUGUUGUGACCUAGGUCCUGGGACCAAUACACUUUCAAGCUCCAGAUGUAUCCCUUCUCUUUAAGCAACAAGUUGAGUAGCCCAGAGCACAGGACUAAAAGCUUUCCGCAAAACCAAAUAAACUCCAAGUGCAACAGCAACAACCUACCAGGUAACAGGAACAAUGGGGUUUUUUUGGAGUCAAAGCAUAUUUAUACUGGUAAAAAGCUAAAGCUGGCUUUCUGCAAUUAACAGGAAAAAUGCUCCUAUAAAUACACAUGGCAAGUCUCCACAUCCCAAGACUCCUAGAAUUUAUUUCCAGGAAGGAAAAAAAUCUACAUGAAGUGUUUUUUUCCAGGUGGCAAGAUCAUUAAUUGUUAUAGCUUAAUAAUGCUGUGCUGGCAUUCUCACUGGCUGGCUGCAGUGUGGUGUCCAGCAGCCCUCAGCAGCAGUACACAGGCUGCCACCAUAGCACAUGAGGAAGUGAAUCUUAUUGUCUUAGUACUGACCAACCCUUCUUCAUGCUUUUGGCUCCGAGACCUUUCUUGAGGCUCAGAUAUGUGGAGAAAUUAGCCCUAGGUGAAUACUUGCCUACAGCACUGCAGUUAUUGGGGUGGGGUUUUACAGCAACAGUGUCAGUCUGCCUCCCCAAAGACAACCUUUAGUCACAUUUUUUCUAGUUGUCUGGAAUCUGUGAAAUUUCUGUUGUAACUGAAUCUCUGUGCUUCACAUUCAACAUGCAUCAGGCACUGCAGUGGGUUUGCAGAGAGAGGAAACUCCUAGGACAAGAAAACUUUUGACAACACGGGAAGAAAACCCACAGGCACUGAUUACAGGGGUUAGAAAUCUUUCUGCUGACACCUCAGCAUCUGUGGAACAUGACCCUCACUCUGUUUAUGUCUUUGGCACAAAUAGUUCAAGCAAUGUCUAGCUGACCUUUUGAUCGCAGCUCUGCACUUGAGGCCUGUAGCUUCUCUCUCACCUCUGCCCGCUCUCGGUACAGCUCAGUGAAGAGGAAAGAGUAAGACCCUCUGUGCAGGGCAGUAUUUUGGAGCAGCUGAACCAUACCUCCCAAAAGCCAUGUUGGCCACAUCGUCCCUUGAGCCUUUUAGGUGGCUGAAGCCCUCCUGACAUUUGUUCUUCCAGGGAAUGAGGAAGCUGGGAGACAAAGCACAGAGAUUCUUUUUUUUCUAAUACACUAUGAACUUUCUUACUUUCAAUGUCUCAGAAAUGGGCCACCUCUUGCCCAAAAAACAUUUCAAGCACUAUGUCCUAGCAUCUCAUUUAUGAAUUCAUUUACUAGACCUUGAAAGCACCUUGUAUUUGAAAGAUAUCCUAAUCUUUCAUUUUGAAACAGACAAGAUGAGUACAGCAAUAGCUAGGAAGAACUAACAGAACAAUGUGAAACUAUUCUGAGUCCUGUCCUAGUUUGGCUUCCUCCUUGAGCAACAGCAGUGCCAACCAGCUGGCAAGAGCUGAGACCCCAAGUCACAGAGAUCAGAAACAAAAUACACCCAAGAAAGGGAAGUGAUGACAGCCAAGGAAACCUGCAGCAGCUGGGCUGGAGCUGGAGGCAGGCAGCAGAUUGAGUGUUGAAAGGGGUAACGUCGACUGCCACAUGUUUGUAGCGUAGAGUGAAGGCAUAGUUGAUAACACCACAGACCAGCUGCAGGCUCCAGGCCAAGGAGUGCAGUGGGUCUCAUUUUGGUUCCACAGACAGGAAUGACAAUGGCCAUACAUGCACCUGCCAACUAUGGCCAGUGAGAAAGCACCUAGGGAACCUAGACCUUUUGGCAGAAGGAGUGAAGACAUGAAACAUAAAAAUCUCUUCCUCCAAAAAUGGUGAAGCUGCCUUAUAUAAGGAAACUGAUUCAUCUGCAUUGUGAAUGGGAAAGCAAGGGGACCUGCAAGACAGGUGAUGGGACAAAAUAGAUUAAUGCUAAAAUUAGUUGCUUGGGGACAAUUUAGACUUUUUAUUGCUGAGAUUUAAGCUGGACAUGCAUGUAAGAGGAGCGCAAUUAAUACCAACAGCUUUGGAGUUUGAGCUCAUUUUUGGUCCUGUAAGUCAGCUAACAGGCCCCACACCAUCUGAAUGCUGUACUCAAUGGAGCAUCUGAGGCUGGUGGGGACUUAGUAACCCCGGUUGCCAGAGCCCUCUCUAAACCAUUAUUUUCUGUAUGUCUCCAGGGCCAGGGACUUUGGUUUUCUUUUGCAUCUCUCAAACAGUUUGAUUAGAAGGCUCAGUGGAAUGACAGUGUUAGCGUUCCUGUGUCUUUUUAAAGUCUGCCCUUCCAGCAUUCACAAGUAUCAGUAAUGCCUACUAUGAGGAGCAGAGAUGAUGCAGCUGGAGAUGUGGUCUCUCACCUACUUAAAAACAAAGCUCGAGCUUGUCCAUGAUCAUGGAAACUGGCCUCUCAGGAUGAGGCCAAGGGUGAAGACAGUGAGGCAGAAGCUGAUUUUAGGCACAGAAUUUUAACCUCCAGCAUAAAAUUUUGAUGUCUCAGACAUUCCUCUUCUGAAAAAAUAACCUUCCCGCUUACAGACAGUGAAAUAGGAUAGCUGUGUGAAGGCUUCACUCUCCUGUGCAAUAAAAUUAUGUAGAUGCAGUUUUGGGAUGCAAGAUCUCCCUAAAACCUGUAAUUCUAUAUCUGACUGUCCUGCUACAUUUAUCUGUGCUGUUCAACAGUUCUAAGAGGUAGGUCCUUCUUAGAAAAAUAAAGUGGUUGAAAGGAAACUCUUGCCUCAGAGCAAAUGAGGUAUCAGAUGAUGAGAACAGGAAGGAGAUGCCUUGAAGUGUAAUAAUCCCAACUCUGCCAAUAGAUAAAUCUCCUAUGGAAGUAAUUAGUAUUGCUACAGUUGUACAGAGAACUAGGCCUAAUGUCUAGGCCACAAAAAACCAAAAACAAGCUGAGAUUCUGCUCUUGGGCUAUCCAUCCACUCACUGGUGGAUGAAAAAGAACAGUUCACUUUGUUUUCAUUGAAUCAGUCAUGUCCACACAGAGGCUGGACUGUUGCAGUAAGAAACCCAAGCCCACUAGCUUUCAAACUGCCCUAGAUUUACUUGCAAUGGGAUAUUAGAAAAUAAGGGAAAAUAUCAGGCAAGCCAAUACACUAUACAAAUACAUUUUAUUUAGAGAUACCCAUAGUAAGAUGCACAAAUACUUUUUGUUCACCAAUUUUCAUAUCACACAACUUCAAGUAGUGGAAAAAAACAAACUGCAGUUAAUUACAAUUAUCUAUGUAACAGGGCAGUAGUAAAAGAUUCAUUUGUCAGACUACAGCAUGGUUAACGAUACUCAGAUGAGAAUGUACAGGUCUAGGUAUUAAAAAAGUGCAUGGGGCAUUGCCACAUACACUAACAUGCUUCUUCAAAGAGCAACAUCUUUCUGGCAUGUGAACACAGUAACCCGGUUAAAGCAAGAGGGAAAAUAGGCUCAUAAUUUGAUCUGGAAAUGUAUCUACUAAAAGUUUUCCUCCAAACAGCAAAUUAUUUGUGACUGACACAUGGAAACCAAUCUAUAAAAAUCACUGUUACAUUGUCCAUGUAGUCAAGCAACACACACAUGACCUAAAAUUUAAAAUUAUCAGUUCCAGUGUAUGCCUUCACAGCUUUUACACAGUCUUCUUCAAAAGAGUCCAGAAUACUUAAUUGCAUUAACAGGCUGGUGGAAGAUCUGUAAUCUGAGCUCCACACUUUUGCACCCACAAUGUUCUUCCACAAGAGAAAUCUCAAUCUUCAAAUUAAAAAAAAAAACCAAACAUGUUCCACCUGCAAGGACAUCAACUGGCUCAUGUAUUGCUUGGUUUAUUUUUAAAUUCCUGUAAAUGGAAGGAAAGGUAGGAAGCUGUACUGGUCUGAGAGAAUAGCUGCAUUGGUUUAAAGUUACAUUUAAAACACAUGGAACCUGGACUUUUAUCUCCAGGGUUUCUCUCAAACCAAGGAAAUUCAUUAGCUUUCACUACUCAAUGCAGUCUCUGUUUUGUUUUUAAAUAGGGGUGGUGUUGAAUAGUGCUUGGGAAAGACCAGCAAGGACUAUUGUGUGGGUGAUUAUAUAUAAGAGCAAGAAACACAUUUAAUCAGUGUUCAGAUAAUUUUUUUCCAUUGCAAACAAGAGAGCAACAGAUACUGACUUUGUAUUAUAGUUGAGAGGCACAUUUUGCACUGAUGGACAGAAAAUCUUGGUUUACCUUGCAACUUUAUGUGGCUUAAAACGCCACCUAACUUCCUCUUAAAGCAAUUUUUAAAAAAGAAACAAAAAGCUCCCUCAAUUACUGUUUUUAUACUUAAAAUUCAUAAGCUGCUCCCUCACCUAUUCUACUCAGAGAUACCUUUCUACUUGUGUAUAUGCAGUUGGUUUCUUUGUGUGUCUAAGAGAUUCUUGUUUCUGUGCACCUUGAGAGUAGACAAAUAAUUCUGAUGCCUCAGGAUGGGCCCCUGUACUAUGUUCAGGAGUUGAGAAAGUCAGUAUGGUUUUGUACAUUUGCAGUAAACCCCAGAAUGAAAACAAGAAAAAGAAAAGCCACUGAAUUGCAAUAACCAGCAGUAUGGGAAUCAACUCCGUGGAACAGGAAUGACUUUGGAGCAAACCCUUUUGGACUGAAAGGGAUAUGGCAGUCCAAGAAGAUACCUAGAGCUGAGUAAAAAGAAUAAGGACACUGUGAGCAAGGUCCUAGUUCAGCAAACCACUGCCUAAGGCAGUAGAAGUUUCAAAGUAUAAUAGGGGUUUAACAGGUGCCCCCAUGCUUUGCAGACCUUGGUACCUGAUCUAGUGCACCAUGAGAAAACAGGGAACUUGCUCAAGUCCCAAGCAGCAGUGUGACAAGAUGUGAGUGAGGCUGGGACAAGAGUCUGAGACCAGAGACAGCAAUUUGAACAAGAGGGACAAAGCCCACCAGAAGUUACUUAACCAGUUCUUUCUCUAACAGCCCCACUACCACACCUCCAAUGUGAGAGAAGCCCAGAGCAACCAGCUGAAGCUGUAAAUCACAACUGGCCUGUUACAUCCCUGCACUGUCAACAGCCAGCCAAGUGGAGGACAAGGUAGACAAGGCCUUUUUACUCCAUCAUCCCUGCACAAAGCAGGUGGAGGGGGCUGGUGGCAGCCGUGAAGCACAUUAGUCAUAGUCACUCAUGAAAACAGAGACAAGUGCACUGGUAACCUUGAAUGUUGAGGGGAAGACUGAGUGACCACUGGGGAAACUGGUUUUUCCACAUGCUAUUUUCACAUCUCAUCUGAAGAGGGACUGACCUCUUUUUGAAAGCUCUGGGAGCAACUAAUUUGCAGUGAUCUAAGGCAUGAUGGCACAAACCCUCAAAGCCUACCAUCAAACAUUCCAUUGCCAGCUCAUCUCUGUCAUUCUUGCUGGCCAAAGUACAUUAGAAUAACUUUUCUCUUUUGAGAACACGGUUAUUGUUUUGCUCAUAUCCCUACUCUUUUAUAAUUCCACCCCCCAAAACAAUAAAUCUCUGGAGGAAGCCUUUACAUGGAAUCAAGUGAGCAACUCACCCUGCUGGUAUUGCCCUGAAUGAAACCUUUAGUCAAGACUCUGAGUAGCAACUGAAGAUGCCAGUUCUCUGGCUAAACCACUACAGAUGAGUUUGACAAACACACUGGGUGAAGGCACAGGGCACCUCCACUUCCUGAUCUGCUGACACCUACUGAACAAUAUGGGUGCAAGAAGCUUUCUGCUUCUUCAGACUGUGCAGGGGUGGAGUCUCCAAUUGCAAGAGAAGCAUCCAGUCACAGAGGUUUAUGGUAAAAGCACAGAGUGAUCUUGCCACACUGGGCUACAGGUUUUCUUUUUAUUAUGACUCGAUAAUUUUCAGAGUAGGCAGACAUCUUUGAACUCAUCAUUACAGGUGAACUAGGAAAAAAUGGGAGAAGAGGAAGAUGCUAAAGGUAGAAAACUAAGUUAAAUCCAUUUGUUCUACUCAGAAAAGCGACUGUCCUAAAAACAGCACCUCACUGAAUUUGAAGGAACUCCGAAAUUAACACAAAGCAAAAAGAACUCCAUGGAUGCCAGGUUAUAAACCCCAAGGCUUUUCAGGCCCUCUUUAGAGUAUGACUGAAUUACAGCCUAAACAAAGCAUUCAAACAGGAGAGGAAAUAUGUGAGUUAUGUCACCUACAUUCACAUGCCAAGUGUUGUCACCACACCAAGCAGGGCUGAAUGUCACAGAACAUGUAUCAUCUUGGAAUAUUCCCAGGAGCACAAAUGACAGCAGACAAACGGGAGCUGUGGAUGCAAUCAGGGAGUUUCCCCUUCCCCUCUCUAUGAAGUCUUAACAAGAAACAUGUCCUCAUCCUUCUACCUCUGCCACCGGAUGUGACAUCCACAGACCAGCAUUUGUGAUACACACUUAGAACAAGGCAGGGCCUCAUUGUCCUGCUCCAGAUAUGGGGUGAAGUCUUGGCUGUGGGCUUAAUGGGUGGGGAAACCACUGUCUCUCUACUGAAGCAGAUUAUGAGAUUCAUAUGAGAGUCUCCGCUUUAAUUCAGAGAGCUACAAACGCACUUACGACAGCAGAAGAUCUUCCCCUCACCUCCAUCACAUGGAUCUAGCUCUCACAAAGACACACAGAAAGCUUUAAACCCUCUGCAGUCAGCAAGAGCAGUCACUUGGAUAAGAGGGGAGAGGCACAAGAGUGAACCUCCUCUUACUUUUGCUCUAACUUCACACAAACAGUGUGAAGUAUGGUGAUGGAGUAUCAAGGCAGAUGGCAUUUACUUUUCAAUUAAAUGUAUUAAUAAAAAUAUAUAAAAUGCAGAACAACUGUGGAUCUUUCUCUAACCAAAGUAAUUUACUGAAGAAAUCCAUUAUAUACCCACUACUAAGAAGGAUAUAUAGAACAGCCUUUCAAAAACAGCACUUCAAAUUGUAUCCUAAGGGGCUGAAGUACCUCAGACUACUCAUUCCCAUCAAGCUAAAAGUACAGCCUGUGCCUAGAACCUACCACAGUAAGUUCUAUACUUCCAGCCCUCUACCACCUGUGGACCUAGGUAAUUUAGGUAAGUAUAUCGAGCCUCACUCGCAUGCUGCAGGAAUGGUCUACAGAUCCCAGAAGGAAAUAAAGAUGUAGUGGCAUGUCCUACACAAGAAGUCACAGAGUCUAUGCCAUACAAGCUCUGUCUGCUGCCUUCAGGACAUGAAGAGAAGGACACACAACAUGGCUCUGCAGGCCAGUCACACAGAGAACUAUUGCUGCUGUGGAUCAAGAACUAGGGUCCAAGGUGUGCAUUUCCCUUUACAGCUGUUACGAAAAGCAACACUUACAAGAUGUGCUAAAAAGCAUUUACUACCUUCCAGUGUAAACAGGGCCACAGCAGAGGAAAGCCAGCCCAGCUCCAGCCUUACUGAGCCACCACCUUUCUGUGACCUGCUUUUGUGUACAACUUGAGUGAACUGAAGUUAACAUGGACUUACCACGUUCAGCAGGUGCACUUGGAAACUUAAACCACAUUCAGGUACCACUGCAAAGCACUUAAAAUCUGAUUUUAGUCCACAGAUCAAUAAAGACCCUGUUUUCCAGAGGUGCUACACCACUUCAAGUCCCAGGGAGAUCAAUAUAAAGUGGAAACACUCAGUAUCUUGCGAAUUACUGUUAUUUAUGUGCCUCUACCACCACGCCAGCACCAUCUACUCUGCACAAGAGAAAACAGCCCUGAACAAAGGCUUUCUCCAGACACAAACCAGAGAAUCCCUCGAAGUACUCCCUGCACACAUUAUCCCCCAAUAUGGAAGAUCACAUACUUGAGGCAGGUUUCAGCCACCACAGGGACCACACUGCAGUGUCUGGGUCAGGACCUUGACAGAAUCCUCACUAACAGCAAGUGAGGACAAGUGGUCUUUCUGGUAAGACAUUCAGGUGACUUCUCCUAACAUUAUACAUAUUUCUCCCAUAACUGAAAGCAGCAGACCCUGACACUGAUCUAGACACCACGGCUCAGUAACUGCAUAAAUAAAACUUCCCUAUCUUUGCUGACAUGUGUCCUCCUCUGGCAACCUGCCUGAUGAAGAGAUGGAAGCCCAGAACCAAGCUAAGUAAGGACUGCAAUUUACUAGUCUGGCAUUAAUAUGGCACUCACUGUGCCUUCUCAUACCUGACAGUAAAGAAUAUGGAGAGAACUUUAUGGGACCAUGCACCCUGCAAGCCUGGCCCUGGUAUAAGGCUCAACUGGACAUAAUGCAUCCAUGAGAAAGAAAUAGCAUUCAAAUCACAUAGAAAAUUAGGAAUCUCAGUCAUGGCUUUAAAAUUACAAAGCGAGCUUUCCCUUAAAGCACAUAAUCAAAUAUAAGGUAGCACAGAGCAGACAACAUGCCUUUUUUCUAAUUCAUAGAGAAGAAUGCAAGAACAGUAUGAAUAGCAGUAAAAAGAGUACAUUUGCUUUGAGAUGAUAAAAAAUAGAGUAAGACCCAGUAAAAAAUACACAGCAGUAAAAAUGCACACUUUUGAAAGUUCAGUAAUAUUUGGAUGGUUUACAAUUGUGCUGCAGUAGUAUUUGGAGGGUUUACAAUAGUGGCAGUCAUGUUGCCCUUCAUUAGAUUUCAGAGCUGGCCACAUAUGAUUUGUUGGUUGCUCCAGGUAUACUGUCACAAACCCAAAUCUAUACACACACUGCUAAUCAUUUAGCCAAUCACUAGAAAAGCCCUUCCUGUUCAUUAGAAGCUUGACUUACUACAUUUUUAACAGCUACUUAGGCAAGCAAACAAUUUGAAGCACCUUUCACAGGUUUCUUACCGCUGCCUCGUUCUUUGGAACAGACGGAUUUAACAUUGUGGGAAGGCUGCCUUGGAUCCAGAAAAGAGACAUGUGCCUGUGAUCCUACUGCAUACACUGACCACUCUUGACCAUAAGCCAAACACACGUUCUCUCUGCAGUACGGCAACUUUGUGGAAAGUAACUGGAAACAGAAAAAAUAAAAAUCAAUCUGUUACAAGAAAAGACGAAGGUGUUGACAAAACAAUUUUGUAAGUUAUGUUCUAGGAAGUUGCAGGGAAAUAAAACACAAAAUGCAGGGGAAAAAUAAGACCAGAAGGAAAAAAACUGAAAGCAAUGGGGUAUCUUAUCUGAAGCCAACUGACACAAUAAAAGCUGAAGCUAAGAAAAAUUGACAUUUUAAUAAAUUGUUUUAGAUCCUUCUAAGCUGCUGCUAUUUUUUAGUAGGUGCACAGCAACACCAGCUCUCAUUUGAAAAAGCCUAUCACAUUCACUGGGUGUGAUGUGCCAUUACACUUAAAUAAGUGCAACUUCCUUUAUGAAUUCUACAGACUAAGUAUCCACCAUACUCCAUGCAACAGCUCACUUCAGCUAACCCAAAACUAGCAGAAAGUUAAGCAUGCUUCCUGUCCUCUCAAUUAAGGGGAGUGCAGAACUUCUCUCCUCUUCAAGCUCCAAAUUUCAGGACAUUUCAUUUUACACAGAAUUUUUAAGUGUUUUACAAACACUGCUGCUCUUCAAAUAUUUGCAGGAAAUGAAGAAUAGUGAACAGCCUUAACUGCUUGCAAUUUUUGAAGUUUAACUCCAACAAACAGAAAAGCACCUUUGAUAGUGUAUGCUCCGCUUUCCAAAGAUGAAAAUACCCAUCCAGGGACACAGCUCCCAACUCCUAUUAGAAGGAAAAUAAGAAGACAGUUAGUUACUGUAUUAUAGAUAUCCUUACAAACACACUCUGUUCUAGGCAGGCUGCACAGUCUGGAUUGAACUCAUCCAUAAUCUUGUAAAGACUCUAUCAAGAUAAUUUUCAUUUUAUACUGCUCUUCAUAGAAUGCUAUACAGCACUUCAGGUGUCAAGUAGAAUCUAAAUUAACAAAAGAGUAAAUAAAAAUAACUUUCAAAACCAUAAAUCUUGCUAGGCAACCAAAUAAUGAAGUAUGAGACAGUACAAUCUAGAGUUGACAAUUCCCUUCACCAGGUCCCACACUGAUUCUAACCCUGAAGCAAGUUGCAGGCACUACUCUACUGAAAAAGUUACAUUAAGUUUCCAUCAUGGAGGAGUAACUAACACCUCGUGUGAAAAAUAAAGCUUACAGGAUCACUGUGCAUCUGACAGCACACCCACCUUCGCUUCAGAUCUCUUCUGUUCUUUGAGGGCAGAGGGGAAAAGAAAACGUGAUGAAGGAUGAAUGGCUACAUUCACUGGUAAUAACAGGAGAUCAGGAUGGGGGAGAUUGACAUUUACUGUUUGUCAAAUACCAACAAAAUAACCCCAAAGCAAGCACUAGUGCCUGCCCUGUGAGUCAGUCACCUCAUUUGCUCAGCAAUCCUGAAAGGAUUCAGACACUGAAACAGGAACUGUUAAAUGUUAGCUGGUCUUCACAGAACAUGAAGGAAAGCAGAAAGAGCACUAAAGAAUGGGAUUAAAGCUGCAAGAGAUGUUUUGGUGCUUUAUCAGCUUCUUGUAAAUAUGUCUUUACUCCCCUGCUUAGGAGGCAAAUCUAAAAUCAAACCCACAGGAAAACUGUGUCUUCUAAAAGGUCUGGGGUUGUUUUUUUUCCUUCUGAACUCCUCCAUUCACUUGAGGCAGAAGCAGACAUUGCAGAUUAAAACCACUGCCUUAAAAGAUAAGGAUGCAAAAUAAUCAGAGAAAAACAUAUUAACUUGCUUCUCUGUAUAUUCUAUUUAGCUUACUUUCUAGCUUUUCCAAUACACAGGGACAGUUUUAGGACUUCUCAACUGUUUUGCUGAUCUUACUGACCUUGUUCUUAUUGUUGAAAGCCAAUGCUCGGACUUUGCAGUUGUCAGGAUUGGUGUUCUCCUUGGGGAUAUCCUUCAGAGCACUGUGUGUUAUGUGGGCAUAGACAGGAACUUGAGAGAGAUUAUGCCUGGCAUCACUUUUGGAUAACACAUCCUCUGUGACUUCCCAGAGACCCAUCGAACCAUCCCGGGAACC